UGCCAACUAGGUGUCUGCACGAAGUUUGGCAUCAAUAUGAUGACCUCCCGGGAGCAGGGGGCCACCAGGUCGCCUAAGGAUGAGUGAACUGGCCCAGAUCAGAAAGGGAGCAGGUCAGAACUCCCACACCGACAGGUAGUAGGACUGUGCCUGGGCA
rnacentral:SRP_RNA from 1 species